rnacentral:rRNA from 1 species
CCUACGGGAGGCAGCAGUGGGGAAUAUUGGUCAAUGGGCGAAAGCCUGAACCAGCAAUGCCGCGUGAGUGAUGAAGGCCUUCGGGUUGUAAAGCUCUGUCGGGGGAGACGAAUAAGCUGUCUAAUAAGCAGCCUUGACGGUACCCCCAAAGGAAGCACCGGCUAACUCUGUGCCAGCAGCCGCGGUAAUACAGAGGGUGCAAGCGUUGUUCGGAAUUACUGGGCGUAAAGCGCGUGUAGGCGGUUUAGCAAGUCAGACGUGAAAUCCCUAGGCUUAACCAAGGAAUGGCGUCUGAUACUGCUAAGCUAGAGUGUCGGAGGGGAUGGCGGAAUUCCCGGUGUAGAGGUGAAAUUCGUAGAUAUCGGGAGGAACACCUGUGGCGAAGGCGGCCAUCUGGAAGACAACUGACGCUGAGACGCGAAAGCGUGGGGAGCAAACAG